CUUACUGAUGUUUUCUUUCACCUUUUUCCCAGGGAAAGAUGACAUCUUGUGUUUUCCUUUUUAUAUAUAUAUAUAUAUAUAUAUAUAUAUAUAUAUAUACUUAUUUUAUUUGUCUUUUGAGACACCUUCAUGUAACCCAACUCUUUGUUUGAUCAUAUAUUUUUUAUCGUUAAUUAUUGUUUCUUUAUGUUGUGGAGACAAGGAUCUCCAGAUUGGGUAUCAUUUGUUUUCCUUUUAAGAUGUCACUCCAUUCAAAUUGCUUUUGUAAUUUUUGAUUGAGGUAGGGAGUGACACUUGCAUCCGUACCAAAUUCUUGGUCUCCACAAUAAUAUUUAAAUGAAUAUAUAUCAGAAAGAUGACCAAAAACUACAAACAAACAUAAAUAAGUGACAGUCAGGGGUCCUGUGUGUGAAGGGAGAAUUGUGGAUCAAAUUGACAACUAAACUAUUUUCUGUAAUAUAAAAUAUAACAUUUAUUGAUAUAAAAAAAUACAAGAACAGAAAAACUAAGAUACGAAUAUGACAUAACAUUAAUUGAAGAGAGUAGCAUAUAGUAGUUAUUAUCUUAAGUUUAUGUUUGUUACUGUUGAAAAUAGUUUUUUUUAACACUUUGAAUAUGGAAUAUCCUUUUCAAAGAAUUAUUAUGCAUAUAGUCAGUGUUUGUUAUUAAUUAUAAAUUUAUGAAUAAUUUCAUAAAAAUCAAAACUUUGAUUCCUAUUAGCCCUAGUCUUAUAAAAUUUUGGAAUUUUUUUUAAAUAUUUUGCAUUUUUUUCAAAAAUUUUAUAAGUUGUUUUAAAGUUUGAUCAUUGGGACUGAAUCUGCACUUUUAUGAGUGUGGAAUUGAAGAGAGCUGCCUUAUCAAGCAACAAGUAUAAUUCAUCAGUCAAUUUUUCACUAGUAUGUUUAUUUCUAAUGACUUUAAAAUAUUAGUUCACAUCAUAUUCAUGUCCAUAAAUCUGAG
rnacentral:lncRNA from 1 species